rnacentral:rRNA from 1 species
UACGUAGGCAGCAAGCGUUGUUCGGAGUUACUGGGCGUAAAGGGUGUGUAGGCGGUUCCUUAAGUUUGCUGUGAAAUCUCCCGGCUUAACCGGGAGGGUGCGGUGAAUACUGAGGGACUAGAGUACGGGAGAGGAAAGUGGAAUUCCUGGUGUAGCGGUGAAAUGCGUAGAUAUCAGGAGGAACACCGGUGGUGUAGACGGGUUGCUGGGCUGAUACUGACGCUGAUGCGCGAAAGCUAGGGUAGCAAACGGG